rnacentral:tRNA from 1 species
CUGGUGGCUCAGUUGGUUAGAGCGCCGCCCUGUCACGGCGGAGGUCGAGGGUUCGAACCCCUCUC